rnacentral:lncRNA from 1 species
AAAAGAAAGAAAAGAAAAGGAAGGAAGAAAGGAAGGAAGGAAGGAAGGAAGGAAGGAAGGAAGGAAGGAAGGAAGGAAGGAAGGAAGGAAGAAAGGAAGGAAGAAAGGAAGGAAGGAAGAAAGGAAGGAAGGAAGGAAGGAAGGGAGGAAGGAAGGGAGGAAGGAAGGAAGGAAGGAAAGAAGAGAAAGAAAAAGAAAGGAAGGAAAGAAGAGAAAGAAAAAGAAAGGAAGGAAGAAAGAAAGAUAGAGAAAGAAAAAGAAAGAGAGAAAGAGAGAAAGAAAGAAAGAAAGAAAGAAAGAGAGAAAGAAAGAAAGAAAGAAAGAAAGAAAGAAAGAAAGAAAGAAAGAAAGAAAGAAAGAAAGAAAGAAAGAAAGAAAGAAAGAAAGAAAGAAAGAAAGAAAGAAAGAAAGAAAGAAAGAAAGAAAGAGAAAGGAAGGAAGGAAAGAAGAAAAAAAGAAAAAGAAAGAAAGAGAGGGAGGGAGGGAAGGAGGGAGGAAGUAAGCGAGGGAGGGAGAAUAGAUUAUGGCAAAGAAAAAGACACAGGCUCUGUUUUCUAAUUCUAUGUAUUCUGCCAGAAUGCAGAACUUGUUGGUCUUCAGCAAAGUGCUUGCAGUGUGUUUCUCAAUAUCCCCUUCAGAAAGUGGCUAUAGGAAUCUCUCCCAUCUCCUACCUUUUCUGAGAAACCAUCCACCCUCAGCUGCAUUCUAACUAAUAAGUACAAUAUCACGUAGAGAUCAUUACGAAAGUAUCAUAACAAAAUAAUUGCCCCAUUUUGAGUGAAUAUAAAAUGCAUUUUUCCAUGUUACCCAUUAAUUCUGUCUAUUAAAAUGAUUCGUAUAGGUAUGUGUGAGGAGGAAGAGAGAGAGCUGACAGUGAUGGCCAGAAAUUUAAGGAUGGAAGGAAUCUUAGAGGUCAUCUGCUCAAACCACUUCCUUUUACAGAAGAAAUCAAGACCUAGAGAAAGUGACUUGCCUAAGGUCAGACAGGCAAUUGGUAAAAGAGCUGGGAUUUGAAUCUGGGUGGUCUGACUCCAAAGCCAGUACUGUUCUAUGCUGUCUGAUAUUUUGAAAUAUUUGCUCUUUUGUGGGUAAUAUAUGAAAUAGACCUUUGUGGUUUCUUCUAAGGGGCUUCCGAUCUCUAAGCUUCUGUCCACCACCCUCAUCACUACCUGAAGAUCAGGACAGCAUGGCACUGACUUCCAAGCCCUUCAUUGGUUAUUAAAUAUGUAGGUUCUCAAGGCACCAAGUCAUUUUACCAAGUUCCUAGAGAUGUAAGGUCAUUAAUUCUCCCUCCCUAUUUUCCCCUUGAUAACAAAGAAUUUAGGGUGCUGUAUCUUUUGCAACCCACUGGUCAUAAAGCAAAGACUAAAUAUCUAGUUGAGGUGUUACUGGAGCAGCUAGGUGGUACAAUGGAUAGAGCACUGGGCCUGGAGUCAGGAAGACUCAUCUUUCUUAGUUCAAAUGCAGCUUCAAACUGUGUUACCCUGGGCAAGUCACUUAACAUUGCCUCAGUUUCCUUUUCUGUCAAAUAAGCUGGAAAAGGAAAUGGCAAACUACCCCUAUGUCUUUGACAAGAAAACCCCAAAUGGAGUCACAAAGAGAUGGACAUAACUGAAAAACAACUGAACCAUAGCAGCAGAAAUGUGACUUGAGGGAAACUGGAUUAAAAGAGAUUUUGGA